GAUGUACGCUGGCGGCGUGCCUAAUACAUGCAAGUCGAGCGAACAGAUGAGGAGCUUGCUCCUCUGACGUUAGCGGCGGACGGGUGAGUAACACGUGGAUAACCUACCUAUAAGACUGGGAUAACUUCGGGAAACCGGAGCUAAUACCGGAUAAUAUAUUGAACCGCAUGGUUCAAUAGUGAAAGACGGUUUUGCUGUCACUUAUAGAUGGAUCCGCGCCGCAUUAGCUAGUUGGUAAGGUAACGGCUUACCAAGGCAACGAUGCGUAGCCGACCUGAGAGGGGGAUCGGCCACACUGGAACUGAGACACGGUCCAGACUCCUACGGGAGGCAGCAGUAGGGAAUCUUCCGCAAUGGGCGAAAGCCUGACGGAGCAACGCCGCGUGAGUGAUGAAGGUCUUCGGAUCGUAAAACUCUGUUAUUAGGGAAGAACAAAUGUGUAAGUAACUAUGCACGUCUUGACGGUACCUAAUCAGAAAGCCACGGCUAACUACGUG
rnacentral:rRNA from 1 species